rnacentral:rRNA from 1 species
UGGGGAAUUUUGCACAAUGGGGGAAACCCUGAUGCAGCGACGCCGCGUGAUUUAGAAGGCCUUCGGGUUGUAAAAAUCUUUUCUAUGGGAAGAAAAUGACAGUACCAUAGGAAUAAGGACCGGCUAAUUACGUGCCAGCAGCCGCGGUAAUACGUAAGGUCCGAGCGUUGUCCGGAAUCAUUGGGCGUAAAGGGUACGUAGGCGGGUAAGCAAGUUAGAAGUGAAAUCCUAUAGCUCAACUAUAGUAAGCUUUUAAAACUGCUCAUCUUGAGGUAUGGAAGGGAAAGUGGAAUUCCUAGUGUAGCGGUGAAAUGCGCAGAUAUUAGGAGGAAUACCGGUGGCGAAGGCGACUGUCUGGCCAUAACCUGACGCUGAGGUACGAAAGCGUGGGUAGCAAACAGGA